rnacentral:rRNA from 1 species
AUUGAACGCUGGCGGCAUGCCUUACACAUGCAAGUCGAACGGCAGCACGGGAGCAAUCCUGGUGGCGAGUGCCGAACGGGUGAGGGAAGUAACGGAAUGUGCCCAGUCGUGGGGGAUAGGGUAGACAAAGUUACGCGAAUACCGCAUACGAACUACGGAUGAAAGCGGGGGAUCGGAAGACCUGGCGCGAUUGGAACGGCCGAUAUCGGAUUAGGUAGUUGGUGGGGUAAAGGCUCACCUAGCCGACGAUCCGUAGCUGGUCUGAGAGGACGACCAGCCACACUGGGACUGAGACACGGCCCAGACUCCUACGGGAGGCAGCAGUGGGGAAUUUUGGACAAUGGGCGAAAGCCUGAUGCAGCCAUGCCGCGUGUAGGAUGAAGGCCUUCGGGUUGUAAACUGCUUUUGUACGGAACGAAAAGGGUUAGCCUAAUAAGCUGGGCUCAUGACGGUACCGUAAGAAUAAGCACCGGCUAACUACGUGCCAGCCGCCGCCGUAA